rnacentral:rRNA from 1 species
GGUUAAGCGACUAAGCGUACACGGUGGAUGCCCUGGCAGUCAGAGGCGAUGAAGGACGUGCUAAUCUGCGAAAAGCGUCGGUAAGGUGAUAUGAACCGUUAUAACCGGCGAUGUCCGAAUGGGGAAACCCAGUGCAAUUCGUUGCACUAUCGUUAACUGAAUACAUAGGUUAACGAGGCGAACCGGGGGAACUGAAACAUCUAAGUACCCCGAGGAAAAGAAAUCAACCGAGAUUCCCCCAGUAGCGGCGAGCGAACGGGGAGCAGCCCAGAGUCUGAAUCAGCUUGUGUGUUAGUGGAACGGUCUGGAAAGUCCGACGGUACAGGGUGAUAGUCCCGUACACCAAAAUGCACAGGCUGUGAACUCGAAGAGUAGGGCGGGACACGUGGUAUCCUGUCUGAAUAUGGGGGGACCAUCCUCCAAGGCUAAAUACUCCUGACUGACCGAUAGUGAACCAGUACCGUGAGGGAAAGGCGAAAAGAACCCCGGCGAGGGGAGUGAAAAAGAACCUGAAACCGUGUACGUACAAGCAGUGGGAGCACCUUCGGGUGUGACUGCGUACCUUUUGUAUAAUGGGUCAGCGACUUAUAUUCUGUAGCAAGGUUAACCGUAUAGGGGAGCCGCAGGGAAACCGAGUCUUAACUGGGCGUUAAGUUGCAGGGUAUAGACCCGAAACCCGGUGAUCUAGCCAUGGGCAGGUUGAAGGUUGGGUAACACUAACUGGAGGACCGAACCGACUAAUGUUGAAAAAUUAGCGGAUGACUUGUGGCUGGGGGUGAAAGGCCAAUCAAACCGGGAGAUAGCUGGUUCUCCCCGAAAGCUAUUUAGGUAGCGCCUCGUGAACUCAUCUUCGGGGGUAGAGCACUGUUUCGGCUAGGGGGUCAUCCCGACUUACCAACCCGAUGCAAACUACGAAUACCGAAGAAUGUUAUCACGGGAGACACACGGCGGGUGCUAACGUCCGUCGUGAAGAGGGAAACAACCCAGACCGCCAGCUAAGGUCCCAAAGUCAUGGUUAAGUGGGAAACGAUGUGGGAAGGCACAGACAGCCAGGAUGUUGGCUUAGAAGCAGCCAUCAUUUAAAGAAAGCGUAAUAGCUCACUGGUCGAGUCGGCCUGCGCGGAAGAUGUAACGGGGCUAAACCAUGCACCGAAGCUGCGGCAGCGACACUAUGUGUUGUUGGGUAGGGGAGCGUUCUGUAAGCCUGCGAAGGUGUGCUGUGAGGCAUGCUGGAGGUAUCAGAAGUGCGAAUGCUGACAUAAGUAACGAUAAAGCGGGUGAAAAGCCCGCUCGCCGGAAGACCAAGGGUUCCUGUCCAACGUUAAUCGGGGCAGGGUGAGUCGACCCCUAAGGCGAGGCCGAAAGGCGUAGUCGAUGGGAAACAGGUUAAUAUUCCUGUACUUGGUGUUACUGCGAAGGGGGGACGGAGAAGGCUAUGUUAGCCGGGCGACGGUUGUCCCGGUUUAAGCAUGUAGGCUGGUUGUCCAGGCAAAUCCGGAUAAUCAAGGCUGAGGUGUGAUGACGAGGCACUACGGUGCUGAAGUAACAAAUGCCCUGCUUCCAGGAAAAGCCUCUAAGCAUCAGGUAACAUUAAAUCGUACCCCAAACCGACACAGGUGGUCAGGUAGAGAAUACCAAGGCGCUUGAGAGAACUCGGGUGAAGGAACUAGGCAAAAUGGUGCCGUAACUUCGGGAGAAGGCACGCUGGUGUGUAGGUGAAGUCCCUGCGGAUGGAGCUGAGACCAGUCGAAGAUACCAGCUGGCUGCAACUGUUUAUUAAAAACACAGCACUGUGCAAACACGAAAGUGGACGUAUACGGUGUGACGCCUGCCCGGUGCCGGAAGGUUAAUUGAUGGGGUUAUCCGUAAGGAGAAGCUCUUGAUCGAAGCCCCGGUAAACGGCGGCCGUAACUAUAACGGUCCUAAGGUAGCGAAAUUCCUUGUCGGGUAAGUUCCGACCUGCACGAAUGGCGUAAUGAUGGCCAGGCUGUCUCCACCCGAGACUCAGUGAAAUUGAACUCGCUGUGAAGAUGCAGUGUACCCGCGGCAAGACGGAAAGACCCCGUGAACCUUUACUAUAGCUUGACACUGAACAUUGAGCCUUGAUGUGUAGGAUAGGUGGGAGGCUUUGAAGCGUGGACGCCAGUCUGCGUGGAGCCAACCUUGAAAUACCACCCUUUAAUGUUUGAUGUUCUAACGUUGGCCCCUUAUCGGGGUUGCGGACAGUGUCUGGUGGGUAGUUUGACUGGGGCGGUCUCCUCCCAAAGCGUAACGGAGGAGCACGAAGGUUAGCUAAUCCUGGUCGGACAUCAGGAGGUUAGUGCAAUGGCAUAAGCUAGCUUGACUGCGAGCGUGACGGCGCGAGCAGGUGCGAAAGCAGGUCAUAGUGAUCCGGUGGUUCUGAAUGGAAGGGCCAUCGCUCAACGGAUAAAAGGUACUCCGGGGAUAACAGGCUGAUACCGCCCAAGAGUUCAUAUCGACGGCGGUGUUUGGCACCUCGAUGUCGGCUCAUCACAUCCUGGGGCUGAAGUAGGUCCCAAGGGUAUGGCUGUUCGCCAUUUAAAGUGGUACGCGAGCUGGGUUUAGAACGUCGUGAGACAGUUCGGUCCCUAUCUGCCGUGGGCGCUGGAGAAUUGAGGGGGGCUGCUCCUAGUACGAGAGGACCGGAGUGGACGCAUCACUGGUGUUCGGGUUGUCAUGCCAAUGGCACUGCCCGGUAGCUAAAUGCGGAAGAGAUAAGUGCUGAAAGCAUCUAAGCACGAAACUUGCCCCGAGAUGAGUUCUCCCUGAGACUUUAAGUCUCCUGAAGGAACGUUGAAGACGACGACGUUGAUAGGCCGGGUGUGUAAGCGCAGCGAUGCGUUGAGCUAACCGGUACUAAUGAACCGUGAGGCUUAACCUU